GUGUGUGGCUCAAUGGCAGAGCACUUGCCUAGUAUGUGUGAGGCACUAGGUUCGAUCCUUAGCACCACA
rnacentral:tRNA from 1 species